rnacentral:rRNA from 1 species
CAUGUAGGCGGAGGUUCCAGGUAAAUCCGGUACCUUUUUAACGCUGAGGUGUGAUGACGAGGCACUACGGUGCUGAAGUAACAAAUGCCCUGCUUCCAGGAAAAGCCUCUAAGCAUCAGGUAACAUUGAAUCGUACCCCAAACCGACACAGGUGGUCAGGUAGAGAAUACCAAGGCGCUUGAGAGAACUCGGGUGAAGGAACUAGGCAAAAUGGUGCCGUAACUUCGGGAGAAGGCACGCUGAUAUGUAGGUGAA